UACGAAGGGGGCUAGCGUUGCUCGGAAUCACUGGGCGUAAAGGGUGCGUAGGCGGGUCUUUAAGUCAGGGGUGAAAUCCUGGAGCUCAACUCCAGAACUGCCUUUGAUACUGAGGAUCUUGAGUUCGGGAGAGGUGAGUGGAACUGCGAGUGUAGAGGUGAAAUUCGUAGAUAUCGAGAGGAACACCUGCGGCGAAGGCGGGUUGCUGGGCUGAUACUGAGCUGAGGCGCGAAAAGCCAGGGGAGCGAACGGG
rnacentral:rRNA from 1 species